rnacentral:ncRNA from 1 species
UUUAUUGAGAGUUUGAUCCUGGCUCAGGACGAACGCUGGCGGCGUGCCUAACACAUGCAAGUCGAGCGAUGAAGUUCCUUCGG